CUCUUGCCUUCUGCCAUGUAAGAUAUGACUGUGCUCCUCCUUCACCUUCUGCCAUGAUUGUGAGGCCUCCACAGCCAUGUGGAACUGGAAGCUGUUUUUCCCUCUUUGGGGUCUCAGAGAGAUUGGUGGCAAGGACUCCUGGGAAGAGAAAAGCUGAAGGACACUCUGGCAAGAGAUGGAGACAGAAACUUGACUGGGCUCAGGAAUAUGUGUUUUUAAAAUUCUCCAGAAGAUUUUAAUGCAGUACAAGUAAGAAGACAGGACUGCAAUUCACAAGAACAGUAUAUCCUGGUGAUUCCUCAGAACAGAACAGACUCAAAAAAAAAAAAAAAAGAAGAAGACAAAAACAAAGAUAACAUGAAACCAGAUUCCACAACCAUGUUUCAAGUGACCUAUGUGAGUCAGGCCCAUGAGACACAUACUACACCAGUUUCAGUGAAGCCUCACAAAAUUUAGGGGGGUAGAGGAAAGGGUCCUAUGCCCAUUUCAUAGAUGAACAAACUAAGGACUUAAUAGAUUUCAACAAUUUGUUCAAAGUCUCUACCUUAAAGGAUUUUGGGGUUCUGGUUUUUGUUUUUACCUGCCCUGGUAACUCUUCUAAGAAUGAGCCAAGAAGAAGACAACCUUCUAAGAUACUUUUCCUGCCCUCCAAGGGCUGUGGAGAAUCUGAUAGGGUUGGAGCUGCCCUCUCCUCUUCCCAGAGACACUGCCCCACAAUCCCAUCAAGUCUGACUGGUACCAACGACUCCAGGGGGCCUCUGCCUUCAGAACUGUAUAGGCCUGUGUGGGCACCAGUCUUUACAUCCAUGUUCCCUCUCCCUCGAGGACCCAGGUUGACCUGUCCAAGAGCUCUCUCAUCAUGCUGAAUUUUGGUGACAGCAUAGGGUGAGCCUGUGGAUUCUACAGCUCAGCAAACCUCCAGCCAAGUAGUUUCCCUUCAUAUGGUUCCCCAGUCUUUACAUGUGGCAUCCAAGAAGGGAAAGUAUCCCCUCUCCCUUGAUGAGAUGUCAGCCCCUCACCACACAUGGCCUGGGUGCUAGGAGGACCCAUACGGGCUAGGGAGGGGCCACUGGGAGGGGAAUGUGUAGGGGGCAGACCCCAUCUAGCUGCUUCUUGAUGAGCCUGGCAUGGAGUGUUUGAUCCAAAUCUUGACAGCACAUUGGUGGCUGUUGUCACUGUGUGGCAGGACUUGCAGUUGAGCUUCUUGUGCCUUGGACUUCUUGUGACUUGGACCUCAGCCUCCAUUGAAGACCGUAACACAAGUCCCAACUUACAAACAAAUGAGGGAAUGAAUGAGCUUUGGCAUUGGAAAAACCUGGGUUCAAAUCCUGGCUACUCUACUUCCUGUGUCAGUUGCUUCACUUUUCUAAAUAUAAAUUGUGUUCCUUCUGUUUUGGCUUCUAGGAAACCCCGAGCCAAACGUAUGGCCACCUCUGACCACUCGACCAGCCCAGCAUGGUGUACAUUUCUGGGUAGCUUAUCACGCCUUCCAAGCAUUGCCUUUAUCUUCCUUCUCCCCAUCAAGCCUGUAUUGUUUUCCUUUUGAAUCAUAAGCACUUUUGUUAAAUACCUCAAAUCUUUCGAGAACAGCAAGGAGCAAAAUAAACUUAACUUCUCUGA
rnacentral:lncRNA from 1 species